rnacentral:tRNA from 1 species
GCGGGCGUGGCGGAACGGCAGACGCGCUAGACUUAGGAUCUAGUGGGCUUGUCCCGUGAGAGUUCAAAUCUCUCCGCCCGCACCA